UAAUAAAAACUUCAUUAAGUACAUAAAAAUCCCAAUGUUUUAAGGAAGUUUACCAUUUUAUGUUGAGCAGCAUGUGGCCCACAGGUUGGACAACCCUGGUUUAGUCCUUUAAGAAUGAAGUGAGAAGAAUAUAGAACAGUACAAGAGAAGAAAAACCUAUCAGAAAUGUAGCUGGUCACUAGAAGCAAGCCAUCUUUAAUUAACUCUUACAAUAUGUGGGAUAAAUGAUGAUAAAAUUUGCUUUCCUAUGGAGAAUUUUACAUCAUCUUUAAUGAAAGAGGGGGGCAUACUCAAUGGUUUAAUCUUUUACCAAGAAUGAAGGAGAAAGUGAGAUUAUUAAAAGAAAAAUAAGUAAAGAAAGAAAAAAUCCUCCCAAAAUGAGAUAAGUAAAUUCUUCCGGGCUUUGACAACAUACAAGUAAAGCCUAGGAUCCUUUUUCCAUACGACUGGAAUGUCGUCCACAUACCUCAUGUAUUCUAUUGUGCCAGAUUUUGACUUGUUUACAGCGUCCUCCUCUAUCUCUCUGAUCACGAUUUCGACUAGGACCCCUGCCAUUGAGCUUCCUAUGGGGAUCCCCUCUUUUCUGUCUAUAGUAAUUUCCUCUGAAGCGGAAGUAAGACUGAUAGCACAUCAUGUGUGCUACUUCCCUCAACAUGGGAACUACUUUUGCUGAGUCAGGCAGGUAUUUUAACAGAAAACGGUAAAAGGCCAAGCAAGUGGGCUCUAACUUCAGUGAAGGGUAUAAAUUUUUGAAGUCAUACGUUGCAAAUGUUUCGUUCACUGCUGGUGUUCUUCCUCGGAU
rnacentral:lncRNA from 1 species